UAGUGUUGAGGGAAGGGGUAAUGUUAAAGGUGUAAUAGUGUUAAGGGAAGGUAUAAUAUUGUUAAGGGAAGGUGUAAUGCAGGGGUCUCAAACUCAUAUUUGCCGAGGGCCACAUUGACAUAUUGGCUGUCCUCUGAGGGCCAGAUGUAACUUAUAAAUAUAAGAAAAUGUAACCAGAUGUAAUAUAAAAUGAAUGUAAUUACUCCUUAAUGUUAAAUAACUCUCAAUAUACUAUUUAUUCAAUCAAAUAUUACAGUUGCAUGGAAAAAUGUUUGCUUGUUGCUCUAUUAACAUAAAUCCUUUUAAUUUGUCAUGUUAUGAAAUCCAAAAACUCCAUCAAUCAAGAACCAAACUAUUCAAGUGAAUAGAAAUUACAUCAAGUACAAGUUAUAUUAACUUUGAUCAAAACGUUUGAUACUGAAAUAAGGCUUAAUAAAUAUAAAAUCAAAAAUUGUGAGCUGUGACAGAUUUAGCAUUUCCUCAGAUUUAGCAGUUCCUCAUCCAACCACUAGUCGGAGCUGCAGCUGCAGCACCACAAGCCCGCAGUCUUUGCUUAGUCAGAGCUACAGCCCAGCCACGGGCUACAGGACUCAGCUGAGCCAGUCUGGAGCGUUUUGAAAUUUUUUAAGUUCUUCUGUGUAUGAAAUAAAAUAACCCCACUAACCGGAUAAUACAGCUCUCUACAGUUCAUCUUUCAGCCCAAGCAGCUAACAGCAGCAGUUUAGAGCAGCGUCACGGAGGCACUGCUGGGAUUACAUUAUAAACAGGUCAGUUAGCGCGCUGCUAACCUCAGGAUGUUUAUAACUACGGAGUUUAGUGGACACACCACGGCUGCAAGGUUAGACUGUUGAAGGCUACUGAAGACUACUAAAGCAGGCAACGCAGCGUAAGCAAAAAAAAAAAAAAAAAACACACACACACACCAAAAUACAAGUUAAGAUAAAAUAUGAAAACGAACAUAAUAAAGCAUAAAUAAUUAAAUUGAAUUGCGGGCCAGAUGUAUGUUUAUUUUGUUAACCCGUGAGGGGCCGUAUGAAACCGCGUGGGCCGGUACUUUGAGACCCCUGGUGUAAUGUAAAGGUGUAAUAGUGUUGAGGGAAGGUAUAAUAUUGUUAAGGGAAGGUGUAAUGUUAAAGGUGUAAUAGUUUUGAGGGAAGGUGUAAUGUUAAAGGUGUAAUAGUUUUGAGGGAAGGUGUAAUGUUAAAGGUGUAAUAGUUUUGAGGGAAGGUGUAAUGUUAAAGGUGUAAUAGUGUUGAGGGAAGGUAUAAUAUUGUUAAGGGAAGGUGUAAUGUUAAAGGUGUAAUAGUUUUGAGGGAAGGUGUAAUAGUGUUGAGGGAAGGUGUAAUGUUAAAGGUGUAAUAGUGUUGAGGGAAGGUAUAAUAUUGUUAAGGGAAGGUGUAAUGUAAAGCUGUAAUAGUUUUAAGGGAAGGUAAAUGUUUAGUGAAAUUGUUAUGGUGUGAAUCUAAGGUGUAUGUUAUGUUGAUGUAAAAUAAAGGCAUUAACCCCAAA